GGCGAUACCUUCGCCGAGUGCAAAAAUGCGCAAUGGGUGAUUUCCUGGCGCAGCAGCGAGCUACACAUUUGGCGACAGUGGCAGGUUUGACUGCUCUUUUCUUGUUAGUUUCAAGAGGAAUAAUGUUAAAACUAAUGUGCCUGAUAAUAAUACUGCGUCAUGGAAAUCACCCACUGCGCAAUUUCAGAAGAAAAGGUAAAUUCUUGCAUCAAAAAGGAUGUUUGCUUUUUGCAGUGUUUACGUGGGGACCGGUGCUCCCAGGGGACUGAAGAGAAGGCUAAUUGAGAUUCUCACGUCCGAAUGUGUGAGUGGCGAUAAAAGGAAAACAAACACUCCUAGAUGGUGCAACUCAGCAAAGAUUGGUAGAGCAGCAGAGAGGAGGAGAUGGCGGCCAUGUUUCACUCAAACUCUGACAGAUAGCAAUGGGAUUUCCCAUAGGAGGGAAGAGCAGAAUUUGCUUCGACUUCGCGAAUUUUUCAUACUUGUGCCAAAAGAAUAUUCCAGCGAUCAGUAUACAUAGUAUUUUGCCAUUCUGAAUCAUCAUCAAGGACAUGAAAUAUCACUCAGAGGUAUGGAAAGGAGGGAAGAAUAAGAUCACGAGUUAAAUUAAAUAAUGCGAACGCUGGAGGCCCUGAAAGGCACUCAAUAAACAUUGUGUGAUAGUCACUUCGAAACAGACCUAACGUUGGUUCCUUUCUGUUGUGAAACGCUGACAUCAAAUAUGGGCUGUGUCUUUUGUUAUAUUUAUAAUUUCUCUGAAAAGUAAAUAUAUGAAUUCGAAAACUAAA